GGCUAACGCUGGCGGCGUGUCUUAGCCAUGCAAGUCGAGCGGACUUAUGGGGGUAACUUAUAAGUCAGCGGCGGACGGCGGAGUAACACGUAGCUAACCUACCCUCUGGACGGGGAUAACCUACCGAAAGGUGGGCUAAUACCCGAUGUAGUCAUCCUGUAUAGGGGUGAUGAAAGGUGGGCUUCUGUUUACAAGCUCAUGCUGGAGAGGGGGCUGCGGCCUAUCAGGUAGUUGGUAGGGUAAUAGCCUACCAAGCCGAUGACGGGUAGCCGGCCUGAGAGGGUGACCGGCCCGAGGGGCACUGAGAUACGGGUCCCACUCCUACGGGAGGCAGCAGGCUAGAAAUUUGGGCAAUGGGGGAAACCCUGGACCCAGUGACGCCGCGUGCAGGAGAGCCCUUCGGGUGUAAACUGCUGUCGUGUAGGGAGAAGGGUACUAAGGUGAACAAUCUUAGUACUUGACGGUACUACAGGAGGAAGCCCAGGCUAACCUCGUG
rnacentral:rRNA from 1 species